rnacentral:rRNA from 1 species
AUGGCGGGGCUGCAGCGGUCCAGCGGCACGUUCCGGCGGUCGGGGUCGUCGGGGAUGGUGUGGGACGACGACAGCCACCUCUCCGGGGAGAUCAAGCCCGUGCGGGUCGAGCGGAGCCGCUCCACGGGCCACGCCGGGUACAGGGCGUCCGCCGGCCGCGUCUCGCCCGCGCUCGACCCGCCCUCGCCCCGCGUCGCCGUCUGCGGCUUCUGCGCCUUCUUCCGCGGCGGCAAGGCCAAGAAGAACAACGACGGCAAGGCGGCCAAGUCCAAGGCUCGAACGGCCGCCGGUUCACCAGCAAGACCAAAGGUGAGGCGAGCCAGUGGCUGA